rnacentral:tRNA from 3 species
UAAUCGGAAAUCAUCAGACCCGCAUUAUCAGCUUCCCAAGCUGGUGGCGUGGGUUCGAUUCCCAUCACCC